AACGAACGCUGGCGGCAGGCCUAACACAUGCAAGUCGAGCGCCCCGCAAGGGGAGCGGCGGACGGGUGAGUAACGCGUGGGAAUUUUUCCUGGAGUACGGAACAACCGAGGGAAACUUCGGCUAAUACCGUAUGAUAUCGAGAGAUCAAAGAUUUAUCGCUCUGGGGUGAGCCCGCGUCAGAUUUGGUAGUUGGUGGGGUAACGGCCUACCAAGCCUGCGAUCUGUAGCUGGUCUGAGAGGACGAUCAGCCACACUGGGACUGAGACACGGCCCAGACUCCUACGGGAGGCAGCAGUGGGGAAUCUUGCGCAAUGGGCGAAAGCCUGACGCAGCCAUGCCGCGUGAGUGAAGAAGGUCUUAGGAUUGUAAAGCUCUUUCGCUCGUGACGAUGAUGACGGUAACGAGAAAAGAAGCCCCGGCUAACUUCGUGCCAGCCGCCGCAGUAA
rnacentral:rRNA from 1 species